rnacentral:rRNA from 1 species
UACGGAGGGUGCAAGCGUUAAUCGGAAUUACUGGGCGUAAAGCGUGCGCAGGCGGUUUGUUAAGUCUGCUGUGAAAUCCCUAGGCUCAACCUGGGAACUGCAUCCGAUACUGGAUGGCUUGAAUCCGGGAGAGGGAUGCAGAAUUCCAGGUGUAGCGGUGAAAUGCGUAGAUAUCUGGAGGAAUACCGGUGGCGAAGGCGGCAUCCUGGACCGGCAUUGACGCUGAGGAGCGAAAGCCAGGGGAGCAAACGGG